GUUCUCUCCGUGGGAGAUCUCUACCACCGCCCCUCCCCCCGUGUGGGAUUUUGACAUUUUUGUGCCACCUAGAACACUUGAGGGCUGGAGGAGGAUGGGGUGUAGGGGCAGAUACAAGAUACGGAGUUUCCGAGGCGGAAGUGAGUGCACGUGGAGGCCUGGAUUGCUUCGGAGCAGCAGGUGUAUCUUGAAGCCAAGUCGCCAUCUAUCAUCAUCUCUUUGUGACAAGUUUCUUCAGACAGCCAGGCUUCCCUCCAGGCAAUUCCUGCAGACAGCCUGCUUUCCUCUAGCCUCUGCAUCAGCCUUGCUUCUAGCCCUCUUGUCCUUGCUGUGAAGCUGUAGGACCAUGGCGGAGAGAGUGCUGGUACCCAACCAGAUGGGCCGGGGGGACCGCUACUACACAUACACAGAGCUGUUGGCUAUCUCACGGCGUUUCAAGCAAAACCCCAAUGAGCUCAUGGUCACCUGGAUCCUUCGG
rnacentral:lncRNA from 1 species